CGUCCAGACUCCUACGGGAGGCAGCAGUGGGGAAUAUUGCGCAAUGGGGGGAACCCUGAUGCAGCGACGCCGCGUGAGUGAAGAAGUAUUUCGGUAUGUAAAGCUCUGUCAGCAGGGAAGAAGAAAGACGGUACCUGACCAAGAAGCCCCGGCUAACUACGUGCCAGCAGCCGCGGUAAUACGUAGGGGGCAAGCGUUAUCCGGAUUUACUGGGUGUAAAGGGAGCGUAGACGGCAGGGCAAGUCUGGAGUGAAAGGCAGGGGCCCAACCCCUGGACUGCUCUGGAAACUGUAGAGCUGGAGUGCGGGAGGGGCAGGCGGAAUUCCUAGUGUAGCGGUGAAAUGCGUAGAUAUUAGGAGGAACACCGGCGGCGAAGGCGGCCUGCUGGACCGUAACUGACGUUGAGGCUCGAAAGCGUGGGGAGCAAACAGGAUUAGAUACCCCAGUAUAC
rnacentral:rRNA from 1 species